rnacentral:rRNA from 1 species
AAUGGGCGAAAGCCUGAUGCAGCGACGCCGCGUGAGUGAAGACGUAUUUCGGUAUGUAAAGCUCUAUCAGCAAGGAAGAAAAUGACGGUACUUGACUAAGAAGCCCCGGCUAACUACGUGCCAGCAGCCGCGGUAAUACGUAGGGGGCAAGCGUUAUCCGGAUUUACUGGGUGUAAAGGGAGCGUAGACGGUUUGGUAAGUCAGAUGUGAAAGCCCGGGGCUCAACCCCGGGACUGCAUUUGAAACUAUCAGGCUAGAGUGCAGGAGAGGUAAGUGGAAUUCCUAGUGUAGCGGUGAAAUGCGUAGAUAUUAGGAGGAACACCAGUGGCGAAGGCGGCUUACUGGACUGUAACUGACGUUGAGGCUCGAAAGCGUGGGGAGCAAA